GCCCUCGUAGCUCAAUGGAUAGAGCACUUGCUUGCGGAGUAAAAGGUUGGGGAUUCGAGUUCCUCCGAGGGCG
rnacentral:tRNA from 1 species